UAGUCAUAUGCUUGUCUCAAAGAUUAAGCCAUGCAUGUCUAAGUAUAAACUGCUUAUACUGUGAAACUGCGAAUGGCUCAUUAAAUCAGUUAUAGUUUAUUUGAUGGUACAACCUACUCGGAUAACCGUAGUAAUUCUAGAGCUAAUACGUGCGUAAAUCCCGACUUCUGGAAGGGACGUAUUUAUUAGAUAAAAGGCCAGCCGGACUUUGUCCGACCUGCGGUGAAUCAUGAUAACUUCACGAAUCGCAUGGCCUUGCGCCGGCG
rnacentral:rRNA from 1 species